rnacentral:snoRNA from 1 species
CAGCAAGAUCUCAGCAGGUCUAUGAGUUAUCUAUCUGUCUCGUAUGACCUUCCUGAUCCUUGCAAAAUUAAACAGCAUCAGUUUGAGGCAGCCAUCACUCUUAUUGGUGGUUUGCUAUAGGCGAUGCUAACAUUG